GAUCAAGUGCCUUAAGAGCAUUCGGUGGAUGCCUUGGCGCUGAGAGGCGAUGAAGGACGUGGUACGCUGCGAUAAGCCUUGGGGAGCUGCGAACGAGCUUUGAUCCAGGGAUUUCCGAAUGGGGAAACCCACCUUCGACCCUCCGUAUGGUGGUCUCACGGGCGACUGUGAGAUUGCCAUACGGUUGGUCAGAUGAAGGUAUCAAGCCCUGAAUACAAUAGGGGUUUGAAGCGAACCCGGGGAACUGAAACAUCUCAGUACCCGGAGGAAAGGACAUCAACGAGACUCCGUCAGUAGUGGCGAGCGAACGCGGAUCAGGCCAGUGCUUGUGUCGAGAUUACCGGAACGGUCUGGAAAGGCCGGCGCGAAGGGUGACAGCCCCGUACGGGACGGUCGAGACACAAGACUCGAGUACGGCGG
rnacentral:rRNA from 1 species